rnacentral:tRNA from 1 species
GUUCUCGUAGUAAAAUGGAUAUUACGAUUCCCUCCUAAGGAAUAAUUGCAGGUUCGAUUCCUACCGAGAACGCCA